rnacentral:tRNA from 1 species
GAGGACACAGCUCAGUGGUAAGAGUGUAUACUUAGCAUGUGCGAGGCCUUGGGUUCAAUCCCCAGUACCCUCU